rnacentral:rRNA from 1 species
UACUCUUGACNUCNNCAGAAUUCGGCAGAGAUGCCUUAGUGCCUUCGGGAACUGUGAGACAGGUGCUGCAUGGCUGUCGUCAGCUCGUGUUGUGAAAUGUUGGGUUAAGUCCCGCAACGAGCGCAACCCUUAUCCUUUGUUGCCAGCACGUAAUGGUGGGAACUCAAAGGAGACUGCCGGUGAUAAACCGGAGGAAGGUGGGGAUGACGUCAAGUCAUCAUGGCCCUUACGAGUAGGGCUACACACGUGCUACAAUGGCGUAUACAAAGAGAAGCGAACUCGCGAGAGCCAGCGGACCUCAUAAAGUACGUCGUAGUCCGGAUCGGAGUCUGCAACUCGACUCCGUGAAGUCGGAAUCGCUAGUAAUCGUAGAUCAGAAUGCUACGGUGAAUACGUUCCCGGGA